rfam:Mustela putorius furo unplaced genomic scaffold scaffold00034, whole genome shotgun sequence.
GUGCUCGCUUUGGCAGCACAUAUACUAAAAUUGGAAUGAUACAGAGAGGAUUAGCAAGGCCCCUGUGCAAGGAUGAACAUAGAGUUCAGUGGUUGCACAGCAGAAUCAU